GGGCCCGCACAAGCGGUGGAGCAUGUGGUUUAAUUCGAUGCAACGCGAAGAACCUUACCAGGGUUUGACAUCCUGCGAAUUUCUGGGAAACCGGAAAGUGCCUUCGGGAGCGCAGUGACAGGUGGUGCAUGGCUGUCGUCAGCUCGUGUCGUGAGAUGUUGGGUUAAGUCCCGCAACGAGCGCAACCCACGUCGUUAGUUGCCAGCAUUUAGUUGGGCACUCUAGCGAGACCGCCGGUGAUAAACCGGAGGAAGGUGUGGAUGACGUCAAGUCAUCAUGCCCCUUACAUCCUGGGCUACACACGUACUACAAUGCUACGGACAAGGGCAGCAAACUCGCGAGAGCUAGCA
rnacentral:rRNA from 1 species